rnacentral:rRNA from 1 species
ACUACGAGUUUGAUCAUGGCUCAGAUUGAACGCUGGCGGCACGCUUAACACAUGCAAGUCGAACGCGAAAGUCCUUCGGGGCGAGUAGAGUGGCGGACGGGUGAGUAACGCGUGGGAAUCUACCCUAGAGCGGGGGACAACCCGGGGAAACCCGGGCUAAUACCGCAUACGUCCUACGGGAGAAAGAGGGCCUCUGCUUGCACGCUCUCACUCCAGGAUGAGCCCACGUCCGAUUAGCUAGUUGGUAGGGUAAAGGCCUACCAAGGCCACGAUCGGUAGCUGGUCUGAGAGGAUGAUCAGCCACACUGGGACUGAGACACGGCCCAGACUCCUACGGGAGGCAGCAGUGGGGAAUAUUGGACAAUGGGCGCAAGCCUGAUCCAGCAAUGCCGCGUGUGUGAAGAAGGCCUGCGGGUUGUAAAGCACUUUCAGUGGGGAAGAACAGAUUCGGGUCAAUACCCCGGAGCCCUGACGUUACCCACAGAAGAAGCACCGGCUAACUCCGUG